GGACGUGUGGCCCCGGAGACAGAUGGUGAGAGCUGCUCUCUGAGUUGAGACAGCUUGCCAGCUCUUGGUUCAGGUGCCACGCGAUGCCCUGAAGUCUGACUCUGCCCCUGUUUUGCCAUCUCCACGACAGGAGAAUGCAAUGAUCCAGCCUCCAGUUCAUCAACGUGAAAUGCUGAGAAUGCAGCCAUGUUAGGCUGCCAGAAUGGACUCCAUGUUGCCUUCAGCUGAGCUAAACUCUGAAACGAUGGUUUCAGCAGAAGUGUUACAAAAGAGGCCCCAGAGAGCUGCCUUGUCCUUUCCACAAUGUGAAGAUACAGCAAGAAGAUGCAGUUUCUAUGAACAAGGAAACAGGCCCUCACCAGAUAGCCAAUCUGCGGUGCUUUGAUCUUGCACUUCCCAGCCUCUAGGACUGUGAGAAAUAAAUUUCUUUUGUUUAUAUUCUACC
rnacentral:lncRNA from 1 species